rnacentral:rRNA from 1 species
GACGAACGCUGGCGGCGUGCCUAACACAUGCAAGUCGAGCGAAGUUUUUAAAGCGGAUCCCUUCGGGGUGAAACUUUAAUUAUCUUAGCGGCGGACGGGUGAGUAACGCGUGAGAAACCGUGCCUUUCACAAAGGAAUAGCCUCGGGAAACUGGGAAUAAUACCUUUAUGAUACAUCUACUUCACAUGAAGAAGAUGUUAAAGCGUAAAGCGGUGAAAGAUGGUCUCGCGUCCCAUUAGCUAGUUGGUGAGGUAAUAGCUCACCAAGGCGACGAUGGGUAGCCGGCCUGAGAGGGUGAACGGCCACACUGGAACUGAGACACGGUCCAG